rnacentral:lncRNA from 1 species
AGGUCAGGUUACUCUCCUUCUAAUCCUUCCAACGGAGUGGAAGUCUUCAUCUUCCUCUACUUCACCGAAGACAAAUUUAGCACGGCAACACACCCAACUAAAUACUAGCCAUUUUAUUCAAAACUCAGAGAAACGAAGCGAAAAAUCAACUUAAUGAGUGCGUAAAAAAGUGUGCUUGUAUGAGUGAAAAAUAUGAGUUUUGUUUCUUGUAGGUUUGUACAAUGACCAAUGGGAAUCAUUAAUAGGAUCCUGAAGAUUUAUCACAUACUUUACAUAUAUUAUCAUCAUACAUCAACAAUACCUUUGUAAUAAUCGUCUAUAUUAUCUCAAUUUCUGUAAAUGUACAAAAAAAAAACUUUUUUAUACCGAACCAACUAUAUGAAAUUAAUUCAACUAAAAAAUAAUAAUUUAUAUUUUCUAAUCCCCUCUUGGCAGGGAACGUCACCCUCUCUGAAUGUACUUCUGACAUAAAAUAGCUCAUCAUAAAAAUCCAUCAGCCUUUCAGAGGCAGUUUAGAAUAAACUCCCAUUAUUUAUCAAAAACAUCAACACGCACACCACAAAUAGGAGAGGCUCGGCCAGAGUUCGUUUCAGCAGUUUAAAAGCGUCAAUUUAUAUAACAAAUGUUUGUAUACACAUCUUUUUCCCAAAAUAAUUGAUAAUUUUCAAUAUUGAUAUAAAUUCCCCUGUCGAAAUCUCUAAUCUACUUCACCUUACUUUCAACUACUCUUUUUAUUGACUGUUCGCACAGCAAAGCAAGGAAGUCAGUCGACAAUUUUUAUAAUAAUAAUUCGUUCUCUUCUCAGAUAUUUUAUAUUUAACUGAUUACUGUCGUGCGUAUAUGCGACACCUAAAACACAAAUUCCGAAUUACCCAUACAAAUGCAUGCAAAAUGUAUAGCUGGGUGUCAUACCGACCCUCUUCAGUGCACUGGAUCAUUAAAGUGAAGUUUUCAAGUAUUUUAAAACUGUUUUUUCUGAUGGAAGUGACGGCAAAAUUAGAGCAGGCCGCGGUAGCUGAGUAGUUAACUUGGGUACUGCAAUUCGGAAGGCUCCCGUUCAAAUCCUGGUGUCGUACUAACAUCCCGCGUAUUCGAUGGUCCACAGAUGAUGUUAUUAGACGUUUAUUAAAUCCUGUUAAAAACGUGCAUGAAUAAACGUACAUUUUUAGCUAAA